rnacentral:rRNA from 1 species
UACGUAGGGUGCAAGCGUUGUCCGGAAUUAUUGGGCGUAAAGAGCUCGUAGGCGGUCUGUCGCGUCGGACGUGAAAAUCCAGGGCUCAACCCUGGACCUGCGUUCGAUACGGGCAGACUAGAGUUCGGUAGGGGAGACUGGAAUUCCAGGUGUAGCGGUGAAAUGCGUAGAUAUCUGGAGGAACACCGGUGGCGAAGGCGGCAUCCUGGACCGGUAUUGACGCUGAUGCGCGAAAGCCAGGGGAGCAAACGGG